AGACAUGCAAGUCGAACGCUAAUUUCAGGGUGCAAUAUUCUGAGGUUGGAGUGGCGCAAGGGUGCGUAACACGUGGGUAAUUUGCCGCGAAGUUGGGGAUAACUCGCUGAAAGGCGAGCUAAUACCGAAUGUGAAAGCCGGGGGGCAUCUCUUGGUUUUUAAAGUUGGGGACCGCAAGGCCUGACGCUUCACGAUAAGCCCGCGGCCUAUCAGCUAGUUGGUGAGGUAACGGCUCACCAAGGCUAAGACGGGUAGCUGGUCUGAGAGGACGACCAGUCACACUGGAACUGAGACACGGUCCAGACACCUACGGGUGGCAGCAGUCGAGAAUUUUUCUCAAUGGGCGAAAGCCUGAAGGAGCGACGCCGCGUGGGGGAUGAAGGGCUUCGGCCCGUAAACCCCUGUCAUUUGCGAACAAACCUUGCGAUUUAACAGAUCGCAAGCUGAUUGUAGCGAAAGAGGAAGGGACGGCUAACUCUGUGCCAGCAGCCGCGGUAAUACAGAGGUCCCAAGCGUUGUUCGGAUUCACUGGGCGUAAAGGGUGCGUAGGUGGCAGGGUAAGUUUGAUGUGAAAUCUCCGGGCUUAACCCGGAAACUGCAUUGGAUACUAUUCGGCUGGAGGGUUGGAGGGGGGACUGGAAUUCUCGGUGUAGCAGUGAAAUGCGUAGAUAUCGAGAGGAACACCAGUGGCGAAGGCGAGUCCCUGGACAACUCCUGACACUAAGGCACGAAAGCUAGGGGAGCAAACAGGAUUAGAUACCCUGGUAGUCCUAGCCGUAAACGGUGCGUAUUUGCUGUAAAAGGAAUCGACCCCUUUUGUGGCGUAGCCAACGCGUUAAAUACGCCGCCUGGGAAG
rnacentral:rRNA from 1 species